UCUAGAAUCUAUGAUACGGCACAACGCAUUUCGCUAAAUCAUCGUUAGUGUAUAUUUCCCCCCGCCCAAGCCGGCGGCCUCUAGAUGACAGUUGUUGUUGUUCUUCCCCAUGACUUCAUUGUUGUUGCUGUUCUUGUUGCUGUUGUUAUGACAAGGCACUUUGCGUUGUCAUUGUCACUGUCUCACUGUCACUGCCAAGAACUCCUGGCUAAUGUGUCCAUGAUGUCUGCUGUUGCUGUUGCUGUUGCUGCUGCUCUUGUUAUUACAGGGGGUUUCCCCAAUAAUGGAUGCUUUUUAUGAUUUUUAUGACAUCGCAGCCAGGCAAUAAAUAAAACACAGUAGCUGUAUUGGCAACACA